AGUCGCGUGGCCGAGUGGCAAGGCAGAGGUCUGCAAAACCUUCAACGUCGGUUCGAAUCCGUCCGUGACGU
rnacentral:tRNA from 1 species